rnacentral:rRNA from 1 species
GACGAACCGUGCGAACGUUGUUCGGAAUCACUGGGCUUAAAGGGCGCGUAGGCGGCUUGCCAAGUCCGGGGUGAAAUCCUGCAGCUUAACUGUAGAAGGGCCUUGGAUACUGGCGAGCUCGAGGGAGGUAGGGGUGCGUGGAACUUCUGGUGGAGCGGUGAAAUGCGUUGAUAUCAGAAGGAACGCCGGGGGCGAAAGCGACGCACUGGAUCUCUUCUGACGCUGAGGCGCGAAAGCUAGGGGAGCAAACGGG